rnacentral:lncRNA from 1 species
UUCAGCACGUACACCCCUCUUGGCUUAAACCAAUCAGUUCAAACGAAUACCCCUUUUGUACUGACCAAUCACCCCUACCCAACUUGUUCCCGCCAGUGAUUGUUCUAAUCAUGUUUUAGAGUUGCUGUUUGAUUUUCCCGUGGCGUGAG